rnacentral:rRNA from 1 species
UGGGGAAUUUUGGACAAUGGGCGAAAGCUGAUCCAGCAAUGCCGCGUGUGUGAAGAAGGCCUUCGGGUUGUAAAGCACUUUUUGUCCGGAAAGAAAUCCUUGGCUCUAAUACAGUCGGGGGAUGACGGUACCGGAAGAAUAAGCACCGGCUAACUNCGUGCCAGCAGCCGCGGUAAUACGUAGGGUGCAAGCGUUAAUCGGAAUUACUGGGCGUAAAGCGUGCGCAGGCGGUUUGCUAAGACCGAUGUGAAAUCCCCGGGCUCAACCUGGGAACUGCAUUGGUGACUGGCAGGCUAGAGUAUGGCAGAGGGGGGUAGAAUUCCACGUGUAGCAGUGAAAUGCGUAGAGAUGUGGAGGAAUACCGAUGGCGAAGGCAGCCCCCUGGG